CCUACGGGAGGCAGCAGUAGGGAAUAUUGCUCAAUGGGGGAAACCCUGAAGCAGCAACGCCGCGUGGAGGAUGAAGGUUUUCGGAUUGUAAACUCCUUUUGUUAGAGAAGAUAAUGACGGUAUCUAACGAAUAAGCACCGGCUAACUCCGUGCCAGCAGCCGCGGUAAUACGGAGGGUGCAAGCGUUACUCGGAAUCACUGGGCGUAAAGAGCGCGUAGGCGGGAUAGCAAGUCAGAUGUGAAAUCCUAUGGCUUAACCUUAGAACGGCAUUUGAAACUGUUGUUCUAGAGUGUGGGAGAGGUAAGUGGAAUUCUUGGUGUAGGGGUAAAAUCCGUAGAGAUCAAGAGGAAUACUCAUUGCGAAGGCGACCUGCUAGAACGUAACUGACGCUGAGGAGCGAAAGCGUGGGGAGCAAACGGGAUUAGAUACCCCGGUAGUC
rnacentral:rRNA from 1 species